GUGCUCGUUUCAGCAGCACAUAUACUAAAACUGCAACGAUACAGAGAAGAUUAGCAUGGCCCCUGCACAAGGAUGACAAGCAAAUUCGUGAAGCGUUCCACUUUUUU